rnacentral:rRNA from 1 species
GUGGAUUAGAUACCCUGGUAGUCCAUGCCGUAAACGGUGGGCGCUAGGUGUGGGUUUCCUUCCACGGGAUCCGUGCCGUAGCUAACGCAUUAAGCGCCCCGCCUGGGGAGUACGGCCGCAAGGCUAAAACUCAAAGGAAUUGACGGGGGCCCGCACAAGCGGCGGAGCAUGUGGAUUAAUUCGAUGCAACGCGAAGAACCUUACCUGGGCUUGACAUAUACAGGAUCGCGCCAGAGAUGGUGUUUCCCUUGUGGCUUGUAUACAGGUGGUGCACGGCCGUAGCCAACU